rnacentral:rRNA from 1 species
UACGUAGGGUGCAAGCGUUAAUCGGAAUUACUGGGCGUAAAGCGUGCGCAGGCGGUUUUGUAAGUCAGAUGUGAAAUCCCCGGGCUUAACCUGGGAACUGCGUUUGAAACUACAAGGCUAGAGUGUGACAGAGGGGGGUGGAAUUCCACGUGUAGCAGUGAAAUGCGUAGAGAUGUGGAGGAACACCGAUGGCGAAGGCAGCCCCCUGGGUUAACACUGACGCUCAUGCACGAAAGCGUGGGGAGCAAACAGGG